rnacentral:rRNA from 1 species
ACCUGCGGAAGGAUCAUUACUGUGAUUUAUAUCUUAUACACAUGCGUGAGCGCACCAAACACCUAAAAUUGUAAUACUACCAGUCACUAAGUUUUAACAAAACAAAACUUUCAACAACGGAUCUCUUGGUUCUCGCAUCGAUGAAGAGCGCAGCGAAAUGCGAUACCUAGUGUGAAUUGCAGCCAUCGUGAAUCAUCGAGUUCUUGAACGCACAUUGCGCCCCAUGGUAUUCCAUGGGGCAUGCCUGUCUGAGCGUCGUUUCCUUCUUGCGCAAGCAGAGUUGAGAACAGGCUAUGCCUUUUUCGAAAUGGAACGUCGUGGACGAAGUGAACUAAAUUUUUAGCACGCUUUGGCCGCCGAACUUUUAACUAAGCUCGACCUCAGAUCAGGUAGGAAUACCCGCUGAACUUAAGCAUAUCAAUAAGCGGAG